rnacentral:rRNA from 1 species
UACGGAAGGCAGCAGUGGGGAAUAUUGCACAAUGGGCGCAAGCCUGAUGCAGCCAUGCCGCGUGUAUGAAGAAGGGCCUUCGGGUUGUAAAGUACUUUCAGUCGUGAGGAAGGUGUUAAGGUUAAUAACCUUAGCAAUUGACGUUAGCGACAGAAGAAGCACCGGCUAACUCCGUGCCAGCAGCCGCGGUAAUACGGAGGGUGCGAGCGUUAAUCGGAAUUACUGGGCUAAAGGGCACGCAGGCGGUUAAUUAAGUUGGAUGUGAAUCCCCGGGCUUAACCUGGGAAUGGCAUUCAAGACUGGUUAGCUAGAGUCUUGUAGAGGGGGUAGAAUUCCGAUGUGUAGCGGUGAAAUGCGUAGAGAUGUGGAGGAAUACCGGUGCGAAGGCGGCCCCUGGGACAAAGACUGACGCUCAUGUGCGAAAGCGUGGGGAGCAAA